rnacentral:lncRNA from 1 species
CGAAUUGAAUAAUCAACAUCCUAUAUUUCUAUUUAAUUAUGAUUACCGAAAUUCAACUCUCACGCAAGCAUUGACCAUUUCUAUAUUUGACAAAAUUUAGAUCAUGGACCAACCAGCCAUCCCAUUAUAUAUACCUGUCACGACUUUCUUACAACAUAACUCCGUCUCGCCACAUUCGAAUACUCAAGAACAAAGCCAAAAAGAUAUGAAUAGGUUUCACUUGUCUCUCUUCGUUUUCGUUCUCUUAUGUACUGCAUCAACUAGAGUUUCCGGCAUCAGGCUCGGGCAGCCGUUUCCGAGCCCGGCUACCAGAGGGGAACGUGUUACUGUCCCUAUUGCACAAGACUCCCGUGUCAGCAGGAGAACUGCAGCGGAGAAACAUGUGUUUCGGCCUAAUGUGAAAGCUCCGAUCGCUGCAGGUACUUUUGAGGCGGAGAAGAGAAAGGUUCCCACCGGACCCAAUCCGUUGCACAACAAGCGAUGAUAGCUUAGCAAAGCCAUAUGAUAUGGAUAUACAUCUAGCUGCUUCAACUAUCAUGUUGGGUUGUUUUUUUUAUUUUUUAUUAUUAUUGUUUUUCUUUCAUAAUGCUGAGUUGCACACGUUAGUUACUUGAUUGUAGGGUCAUGAAGAUUUUGUAUAGAAGAUGAAUAUACUUAGAUGUAUGAUUAUUUGAUUAUUCUGAAUUAAUAAUAUCAUUCUUCCAUGUCUGAGUACUUGGUUUGGUUGUAAGCUUGUGAUGCUUUCAAGUUCUUAUGAAUUACGGUAUCCAGUUGGUCUCUAUUACUGUAAUAGUACUCCCUCCGUCCGCUUGGGGGACGGGGACGCGACACGGACUUUAAUGCUCUCGUAAAGUAUAGUUCUAUAACUUAUUUUUAAAAUUUUUCUUUUCUGUAUAAAAGUUUGAAUGUUAUUUUUUAUUCAGAAAAGAAAAAUUUUAAAAUUAAGUUAUAGAACUAUGUUUUACAAGAUCAUUGAAGUGCGUGUCGAGCAGUGAAAAAGAAACGUAUGGAAUUAAAUGGGACAGAGAGGGAGUAGUAUAUUAAGCAACAAAAAAAAAGUUAGGAUAACAGUGAGACCGCUUAAUAUGUAAAGCGAGUGUAAUCGAGAAAAAUAGUCACGG